rnacentral:rRNA from 1 species
AGACAUCCGAAUGGAGCAAUCCGGCUGUGAUGAUGCACAGCCAUCCAUGCCCAAGAGCAUGAGAAGGGAACCGGGCGAACUGAAACAUCUAAGUAACCCGAGGAAAAGAAAUCAAACGAGAUACCCCAAGUAGCGGCGAGCGAACAGGGAAGAAGCCCAAACCGGUGAAGGAAACUUUACCGGGGUUGAGGACCAUCAGACCCGCGAAGAACCUUAGCCGAAACUGUUGGGAAACAGUGCCGAAGACAGUGAAAGCCUGGUAGGCGAAAAAGAGAAACGCGGAGAUGGCACCAGAGUACCGCGGGACACGAGAAAUCCCGUGGGAAGCAGGGGGGACCACCCUCCAAGGCAAAACACAGAUAUCGACCGAUAGCGCAUAGUACCAUGAGGGAAAGGUGAAAAGCACCCCGGGAGGGGAAUGAAAGAGAACCUGAAACCGUAUGUUUACAAGCAGUCGGAGACCGCUUAAUAAUAAGGUCGACGGCGUGCCUAUUGAAGAAUGAACCGGCGAGUUACGAAGCCUGGCAAGGUUAAGCAGGAAAUGCGGAGCCGAAGCGAAAGCGAGUCUUAAGAGGGCGCAAGUCAGGAAGCGUAGACCCGAAACCACAGUGAUCUACCCAUGUCCAGGUUGAAACACAGGUAAAAAUGUGUGGAGGACCGAACCUAUAUCCGUUGAAAAGGGUUAGGAUGAGGUGUGGGUAGGGGUGAAAUUCCAAUCGAACGUGGAGAUAGCUGGUUCUCCCCGAAAUAGCUUUAGGGCUAGCCUCAGGGAAAAGAUUGCAGGCGGUAGAGCACUGAUCAGGAGAGGGACCUACCCGGUUACCAAACCCAGUCAAACUCCGAAUGGCUGCAAUCAUACCUGGGAGUCAGACUGCGACUAAUAAGGGCCGCAGUCAAAAGGGAAACAGCCCAGACCAUCAGCUAAGGUCCCCAAUGCCGUGCUAAGUGGCGAAGGAUGUGGCAUUUCAUAAACAACCAGGAUGUUGGCUCAGAAGCAGCCACCAUUUAAAGAGUGCGUAAUAGCUCACUGGUCGAGAGACGCUGCGCCGAAAAUGUCCGGGGCUCAAGCACGGAACCGAAGCUAUGGCAUGAUAGCAAUAUCAUGGGUAGGGGAGCGUUCUUAUAAGGAAGAAGCAUGACCGGAAGGACAUGUGGACGAAUAAGAAGUGAGAAUGCCGGUAUGAGUAUCGAAAAGAAAGGUGAGAAUCCUUUCCACCGAAAGCCCGAGGGUUCCUGAGCAACGAUCGUCGACUCAGGGUAAGUCGGGACCUAAGCCGAGGCGAGAAGCGUAGGCGAUGGACAACAGGUUGAAAUUCCUGUACCGGAUCAAGUCGAUCGAGCGAAGGAGCGACGCAGGAGGGCACAUGAUCGCGCGGCUGGAAGAGCGCGUCCAAGUGCGUAUGUUGCAGCAGAGGAAAACCCCUGCAGCUAAAAGCAGAGACAUGAUGGGGAGUUAAAGGAAACUUUGACGAACUCAUGGAUCCCACACUGCCAAGAAAAACUUCUAGCGAGACAAGAUCCGCCCGUACCGUAAACCGACACAGGUAGGCGGGGAGAGAAUCCUAAGGUGCGCGGGAAAACCCUCGUUAAGGAACUCGGCAAAUUGCAUCCGUAACCUAGGGAGAAGGAUGGCCCCCGGUCAGUGAAGAGCAGAAACGCUCAGAGCUAAAAGGGGCGGCAGAAAAGAGGCCCAAGCAACUGUUUACCAAAAACACAGGUGCCUGCGAAAGCGAAAGCUGAAGUAUAGGUGCUGACGCCUGCCCGGUGCCGGAAGGUUAAGGAGAGAAGUUAGCGAAAGCGAAGCAUCGAACUGAAGCCCCGGUGAACGGCGGCCGUAACUAUAACGGUCCUAAGGUAGCGAAAUUCCUUGUCGGGUAAGUUCCGACCCGCACGAAAGGCGUAAUGAUUUGGGCACUGUCUCAACGAGGGGCCCGGUGAAAUUGAAAUACCUGUGAAGAUGCAGGUUACCCGCGACUGGACAGAAAGACCCCAUGGAGCUUCACUGCAGCUUGAGAUUGAAUCCCGGUGACAGAUGCACAGGAUAGGUGGGAGGCGCCGAAGCAUUGCCCUAGGGCGGUGCGGAGCCGAUGUUGGGAUACCACCCUUCUGUUGCUGAGAUUCUAACGCGAGGAGUAACGACCCUGCGGACCCUCUCAGGCAGGCGGUUUGACUGGGGCGGUCGCCUCCGAAAGAGUAACGGAGGCG